rnacentral:rRNA from 1 species
AACGAACGCUGGCGGCAUGCCUAACACAUGCAAGUCGAACGGGACCUUCGGGUCUAGUGGCGCACGGGUGCGUAACGCGUCGGAACCUGCCCUUAGGUUCGGAAUAACUCCCCGACAGGGGUGCUAAUGCCGGGUAAUGUCUUCGAACACAAGAUUGAUCGCGUUUGUGUGGGCCGGCGUUGGUUUAGCUUGUUGGUAGUGUAAAAGCCUAUCAAGGCUACGCUCGAUAGCUGGGCUGAGAGGCAGAUCAGCGACACUGAGACUAGGACGCGGCCCAGACUACUACGCGAGGGAGGAGUGGCUAAUAUAGCACAAUGGGGUAAAGCCUGAUCCAGUAAUGCCGGGUGAGCGAUGAAGGCCGUAGGGAAGUAAAGCUCUUUUACCCGGGACGAUAAUGACAGUACCGGGAGAAUAAGCUCCGGCUAACUCCGUG